rnacentral:rRNA from 1 species
CCCUUAGAUGUUCUGGGCCGCACGCGCGCUACACUGAUGCAUUCAACAAGCCUAGCCUUGACCGAGAGGUCCGGGUAAUCUUUGAAACUGCAUCGUGAUGGGGCUAGAUUAUUGCAAUUAUUAAUCUUCAACGAGGAAUGCCUAGUAAGCGUGAUUCAUCAAAUCGCGUUGAUUACGUCCCUGCCCUUUGUACACACCGCCCGUCGCUACUACCGAUUGAAUGGUUUAGUGAGAUCUCCGGAUUGGCUUCCUUGGUACCUUCGCGGGUCCAACGUGAAGCCGAGAAGCUGCUCAAACUUGAUCAUUUAGAGGAAGUAAAAGUCGUAACA